CUAUGAUGGGGAUAACAGUUGGAAACGACUGCUAAUACCGAAUACGCUCAUGAUGAACUUUGUGAGGAAAGGUGGCCUCUGCUUGCAAGCUAUCGCAUAGAGAUGAGUCCGCGUCCCAUUAGCUAGUUGGUGGGGUAACGGCCUACCAAGGCAACGAUGGGUAGCCGAUCUGAGAGGAUGAUCGGCCACACUGGAACUGAAACGCGGUCCAG
rnacentral:rRNA from 1 species